CCAGACGGCCGGAUGGCCGCCUUCGCCGGUUGGUCUCGGCCGAUCGGUGGGGAGGAAAGUCCGGGCUCCACGGAAACACGGUGCCGGGUAACGCCCGGCGGGGGCGACCCCAGGGAAAGUGCCACAGAAAGCAAACCGCCGGCCGGGGUCAGCGCAUGGCGCGCCGGCCUGCCGGUAAGGGCGAAAGGGUGCGGUAAGAGCGCACCGCGUUCCCGGUAACGGGGACGGCAUGGUAAACCCCACCGGGAGCAAGACCAAAUAGGGACGACACGCCGGGCCUCGCCCGGCAGGCGGGUCUUCGCGCCGUCGUCCGGGUCGGUCGCGCGAGGCGUCCGGUAACGGGCGUCCCAGAUGAAUGGCCAUCACCCGCGGCGACGCGGGAACAGAACCCGGCUUACAGGCCGUCUGGCACC
rnacentral:RNase_P_RNA from 1 species